rnacentral:lncRNA from 1 species
GAAAUUUGUGGAUGCUGGUGCUGCUGGAUCCAAGAUUUAUUAAGGAAUACUAAAGGGAUUUUCCAGUGUUGGAAUGUGGCAAAUUCCAUGAGGUUUGUGCUGUAAUCCCACAAAUUCCCGUUCCAGGCGGAAGCGCCGCUCGUCACCUCCCAGUCCCGACCCCGCCGGGGACGCCGCGGACUCGGAAUGGACGGAUGUGGAAACCAGGUGUUCCGUGGCCGUGGAGAUGAGGGCGGGAUCGGCGCUGGGACCGGGAUUCCAGCACCACGCCCAGCCCAAGCGCAGGAAGCCCUGAACUUUUCCUGCUGGAAUCCCGGAUUUUCCCAGCCUGAGGAAUGCUCUGCUGCCACUGCUCCUCAGGAACUGCUUUGUGCUCAUUCCCAGAGGUUUUUAGGGAAGCUGGGAAAUGGCUCCAUUGGUGAUCCCAAAGAACUUCUGGAUGGAUCUGUCCUUUUCCAUAGAUUUAGGGAAAUCCUAAAGGUCCCUCUGGAAUUUCGAAUGGAGCUGGAUCCUUACAGACAGUGCCAGCAGGCUUUUCCCUGGGAGACUUUUCCAGUGUUUUCCCAGUUUUUUAGUCCCAAAUCCAUCUUUUCUGGUCAUUCCCUCUCUUUUGGGAGACCCAACCGCUGCUAUUCCGAGCUGCAGUCCAGCACUUUAAGGGUGUUUUUGGCCAUUCCCGAUUUUACUGGAAGCAGGAAAACCUUGGGAAUUGAGAUUUCUUCUGGCAAGAAUGAAUUUAGAGUAUUUAAGUGUGUCACUGAGCUGUCAGAACAUUCCAGAGUCACCCAAAAUCCUGGGAGCAGUGGGAAUUCACAUCCCAGCUGCUUUGGGGUGUGAGGGAAUUCUGGAAUGUUUUCCAUGUGGGAAUGGGGGAAAA